AUAUGAUGAAGUCUGUAAAUAAAUUUUUAUUUUUUUCUUAUAUUUAAUUUUUAUAUAAUAAAAUUAUACUUUUAUUUCAUAUCAUUUUAUUUUUUUGAGGUAUUGAUCUAGCCUACACGGCCUAUACCCUGUACUGACGUGUCGUGAUCCUUAGAUACGGUACGUGCUUAAGAGAGAUAGAUCGUAGUAUGUUAGAUAAA
rnacentral:lncRNA from 1 species